AUGAACGCUGGCGGCGUGCUUAAUACAUGCAAGUCGAACGAAGACAGUAGCAAUAUUGUCUGAGUGGCGAACGGGUGAGUAACGCGUUGGUGACCUGCCCCGAAGAGAGGGAUAACAGUCCGAAAGGAUUGCUAAUACCCCAUGUGGUCAUUUGGAUUAGAUGCCUUAUGACUAAACGGAUUUAUUCGCUUCGGGAGGGGCCUGCGUCCCAUCAGCUAGUUGGUAAGGUAAUGGCUUACCAAGGCGAUGACGGGUAGGGGACCUGAGAGGGUGGCCCCCCACAAUGGAACUGAAACACGGUCCAUACACCUACGGGUGGCAGCAGUAGGGAAUAUUGGUUAAUCUGGGAAACCGGGAACCAGCAACGCCGCGUGCACGAUGAAGGCCUUCGGGUUGUAAAGUGCUUUUUGAAAGGAUGAGGAAGGACAGUACUUUCAGAAUAAGCUUCGGCUAACUACGU
rnacentral:rRNA from 1 species